UGGGGAAUUUUGGACAAUGGGCGAAAGCCUGAUCCAGCAAUGCCGCGUGUGUGAAGAAGGCCUUCGGGUUGUAAAGCACUUUUGUCCGGAAAGAAAUCCUUGGCUCUAAUACAGUCGGGGGAUGACGGUACCGGAAGAAUAAGCACCGGCUAACUACGUGCCAGCAGCCGCGGUAAUACGUAGGGUGCAAGCGUUAAUCGGAAUUACUGGGCGUAAAGCGUGCGCAGGCGGUUUGCUAAGACCGGUGUGAAAUCCCCGGGCUCAACCUGGGAACUGCAUUGGUGACUGGCAGGCUAGAGUAUGGCAGAGGGGGGUAGAAUUCCACGUGUAGCAGUGAAAUGCGUAGAGAUGUGGAGGAAUACCGAUGGCGAAGGCAGCCCCCUGGGCCAAUACUGACGCUCAUGCACGAAAGCGUGGGGAGCAAACAGGAUUAGAUACCCUGGUAGUCCACGCCCUAAAACGAUGUCAACCAGUUGUUGGGGAUUCAUUUCCUUAGUAACGUAGCUAACGCGUGAAGUUGACCGCCUGGGGAGUACGGUCGCAAGAUUAAAACUCAAAGGAAUUGACGGGGUCAUAGCUGUUUCCU
rnacentral:rRNA from 1 species